AACUGAGGUAGAGGUGCGAAUUUUAAGAGUAAAGCUGUGGAGUUAAGCGCUGUGAAACAGUUUGAAAGGAAUUUUUGCCGAAGCAUACAACUAAUGCUUUAAUGUUGUAUUGCUGGUUUUGUAUAAAAUAUAUGCAAGACUGUCACAGAAAUAAUUUGUGGAGAGCUAUCAUUUGU
rfam:Clostridium botulinum A str. ATCC 3502 complete genome